GACCGCGUAGCUCAGUUGGCAGAGCAUUGGGCUAGUAUUCCAAAGGUCGUAGGUUCGAUUCCUACCGUGGACA